CAGGGAAUAGUUUAAUUAGAAUGUCAGCUUUGGGUGCUGGUGGUGGGGUUGUUU
rnacentral:tRNA from 1 species